AAUAUUCGAGAAGAAGUGACUGAGGAUGGUAAAUACUGUCUAGUGCUGGUAUUUGAGGCAAAAGCUCUGCAGUUAUCAGAUUUCGAAAAAAGACAGGCAAAAUUUACGUCUUUCUUUGGACCUGGAAUAUCAUCUGAAAUUGUAAAGGGAGAGAAUGAUCUGUAUGAAGUACGGCUAAUUUCCAACACAACAUUGUAGAUUGUGAAAAAAUCUUGUUACUCUGGGUAUAUAGAGAAGGUCCACUGUGCCACUUAAUAUAAUGAUAAUUUUUUCAGUCUGCACUGUACAUUGUUGAAUCCAUAGGAAAAUGAUAUAGAAUGAUGGAAAUUAUAAUCCCACAUGGUAGUAACUUGUAU
rnacentral:misc_RNA from 1 species